AGUGAACGCUGGCGGUAGGCCUAACACAUGCAAGUCGAACGGCAGCACAGUAAGAGCUUGCUCUUACGGGUGGCGAGUGGCGGACGGGUGAGGAAUACAUCGGCAUCUACUUUUUCGUGGGGGAUAACGUAGGGAAACUUACGCUAAUACCGCAUACGACCUACGGGUGAAAGCAGGGGAUCUUCGUACCUUUCGCGAUUGAAUGAGCCGAUGUCGGAUUAGCUAGUUGGCGGGGUAAGGGCCCACCAAGGCGACGAUCCGUAGCUGGUCUGAGAGGAUGAUCAGCCACACUGGACCUGGGACACGGUCCAGACUCCUACGGGGGGCAGCAGUGGGGAAUAUUGGACAAUGGGCGCAAGCCUGCUCCAGCCAUACCGCGUGGGUGAAGAAGGCCUUCGGGUUGUAAAGCCCUUUUGUUGGGAAAGAAAAGCAGCAGGUUAAUACCCCGCUGUUCUGACGGUACCCAAAGAAUAAGCACCGGCUAACUUCGUG
rnacentral:rRNA from 1 species